rnacentral:tRNA from 1 species
UGUUUUAAUAAUUUAAAUAAAAAUAUUGGUCUUGUAAACCAAAAAUAAGGAAUCUUUUAAAAC